AGUAACACGUGGGUAACCUGCCUGUAAGACUGGGAUAACUCCGGGAAACCGGAGCUAAUACCGGAUAGUUCCUUGAACCGCAUGGUUCAAGGAUGAAAGACGGUUUCGGCUGUCACUUACAGAUGGACCCGCGGCGCAUUAGCUAGUUGGUGAGGUAACGGCUCACCAAGGCGACGAUGCGUAGCCGACCUGAGAGGGUGAUCGGCCACACUGGGACUGAGACACGGCCCAGACUCCUACGGGAGGCAGCAGUAGGGAAUCUUCCGCAAUGGACGAAAGUCUGACGGAGCAACGCCGCGUGAGUGAUGAAGGUUUUCGGAUCGUAAAGCUCUGUUGUUAGGGAAGAACAAGUGCAAGAGUAACUGCUUGCACCUUGACGGUACCUAACCAGAAAGCCACGGCUAACUACGUGCCAGCAGCCGCGGUAAUACGUAGGUGGCAAGCGUUGUCCGGAAUUAUUGGGCGUAAAGGGCUCGCAGGCGGUUUCUUAAGUCUGAUGUGAAAGCCCCCGGCUCAACCGGGGAGGGUCAUUGGAAACUGGGAAACUUGAGUGCAGAAGAGGAGAGUGGAAUUCCACGUGUAGCGGUGAAAUGCGUAGAGAUGUGGAGGAACACCAGUGGCGAAGGCGACUCUCUGGUCUGUAACUGACGCUGAGGAGCGAAAGCGUGGGGAGCGAACAGGAUUAGAUACCCUGGUAGUCCACGCCGUAAACGAUGAGUGCUAAGUGUUAGGGGGUUUCCGCCCCUUAGUGCUGCAGCUAACGCAUUAAGCACUCCGCCUGGGGAGUACGGUCGCAAGACUGAAACUCAAAGGAAUUGACGGGGGCCCGCACAAGCGGUGGAGCAUGUGGGUUUAAUUUCGAAGCAACGCGAGAACCUUACCAGGUCUUGACAUCCUCUGACAACCCUAGAGAUAGGGCUUUCCCUUCGGGGACAGAGUGAC
rnacentral:rRNA from 1 species